rnacentral:rRNA from 1 species
GGCUCAGAACGAACGNUGGCGGCAGGCCUAACACAUGCAAGUCGAGCGCAGUCCUUCGGGACCGAGCGGCGGACGGGUUAGUAACGCGUGGGAACGUACCCUUCUCUAAGGAAUAGCCUCUGGAAACGGAGAGUAAUACCUUAUACGCCCUUUGGGGGAAAGAUUUAUCGGAGAAGGAUCGGCCCGCGUUAGAUUAGAUAGUNGGUGGGGNAACGGCCUACCAAGUNUACGNUNUAUAGNUGGUUUUAGAGGAUGAUCAGCAACNCUGGGACUGAGACACGGCCCAGACUCCUACGGGAGGCAGCAGUGGGGAAUCUUAGACAAUGGGCGCAAGCNUGAUNUAGCCAUGCCGCGUGAGUGAUGAAGGCCNUAGGGUNGNAAAGCUCUUUCGCCAGAGAUGAUAANGACAGUAUCUGGUAAAGAAACCCCGGCUAACUCNGUGCCANCAGCCNCGGNAAUA